rnacentral:rRNA from 1 species
UACGGAGGGUGCGAGCGUUGUCCGGAAUCAUUGGGCGUAAAGGGCGCGUAGGUGGCCUGCUAAGCGUGCGGUGAAAGCUCGGGGCUCAACCCCGAGUCGGCCGUGCGAACUGGUGGGCUUGAGCACUGUAGAGGCAGGCGGAAUUCCGGGUGUAGCGGUGGAAUGCGUAGAGAUCCGGAAGAACACCGGUGGCGAAGGCGGGUCUCUGGGCCGAUACUGACGCUGAGGAGCGAAAGCGUGGGGGAGCAAACAGG